rnacentral:rRNA from 1 species
CUAAAUCUAGCCUAUCUAAUUAAUAUUACAAAUACAUUAACUAAUUUAAUUAAAACAUUUACUUAAAUUUAUCAGUAUAGGAGAUAGAAAAUUUUAAUAGCGCAAUAGAUACAGUACCGUAAGGGAAUGAUUGAAAGAUAAUUAAAAGUAAAAAAUAGCAAAGAUUAAUUCUUGUACCUUUUGCAUAAUGAAUUAGCAAGAAUAAAGUUAGCAAAGAGAACUAAAGUUAACUACCCCGAAACCAAACGAGCUAUCUAAUAACAACUUUUAGAGUUAACCCAUCUAUGUGGCAAAAUAGUGGGAAGAUUACUAGAUAGAGGUGAAACGCCUAUCGAGUUUGGUGAUAGCUGGUUAUCCAAAUAAGAAUUUUAGUUCAAUUUUAAAUUAUACCUAAAUAGUAUUUAAUAAAAUGUAAAUUUAAAAGAUAAUUCUAAGAGGGACAGCUCUUAGAAUCAGGGGUACAACCCUAAUCAGAGAGUAAUUAAAAUUACUUAACAUAGUAGGCUUAAAAGCAGCCAUCAAUUAAGAAAGCGUUAAAGCUCAACAGAACUUAACAAAUUUAAUACCAAAAUUUCAUUUCAUCUCCUGAUAAAAAAUUGGAUUAAUCUAUUUAUUUAUAGAAGAAAUACUGCUAAUAUGAGUAACAAGAAAUAUUUCUCCUAGCAUAAUUUUAUAUCAGAUCGAAUAAUUCACUGAUAGUUAACAACUUUAAUGGAUAAAAAUAAUUUAUUAAUCAACCACUAACAAAUUGUUAACCCAACACAGGUAUGCACUAAAGGAAAGAUUAAAUAGAUUAAAAGGAACUCGGCAAACACAAGCCCCGCCUGUUUAACAAAAACAUCACCUCUAGCAUUAUUAGUAUUAGAGGCACUGCCUGCCCAGUGACAUAUUUUAACGGCCGCGGUAUCCUGACCGUGCAAAGGUAGCAUAAUCACUUGUUCUUUAAUUUAGGACUUGCAUGAAUGGCCACACGAGGGCUUAACUGUCUCUUAAUCUAAAUCAGUGAAAUUGACCUUCCCGUGAAGAGGCGGGAAUAUUAUAAUAAGACGAGAAGACCCUAUGGAGCUUCAGUUUAAAAACUAAAGAUAUAUAUAUUAAAAACCUACAGGUAUAAAAUUAAUCUAUCUAGUAAUAAACUUUGGUUGGGGUGACCUCGGAGUAAAAAACAACCUCCGAAUGAUUUUAACCUAAGACUUACAAGUCAAAGUACAAUCAUUUAUUGACCCAGUAAAUAGUACUGAUCAACGGAACAAGUUACCCUAGGGAUAACAGCGCAAUUCUAUUCAAGAGUUCAUAUCGACAAUAGAGUUUACGACCUCGAUGUUGGAUCAGGACAUCCUAAUGGUGUAACAGCUAUUAAUGGUUCGUUUGUUCAACGAUUAAAGUCCUACGUGAUCUGAGUUCAGACCGGAGUAAUCCAGGUCGGUUUCUAUCUAUUAUAAGAUUCCCCCAGUACGAAAGGACCAGAGAAUCAAGGCCAACUAAUUCAUUAGAGCCUUAAGCCAAGUAUAGAUGAUUUAAUCUUAAUCUAGACUGCUUUAUAUAGCAAUUAAUUUAUAAGCCCAAAAGAAGGGCUU